AGCGAACGCUGGCGGCAGGCCUAACACAUGCAAGUCGAACGGAUCCUUCGGGAUUAGUGGCGGACGGGUGAGUAACACGUGGGAACGUGCCCUUUGGUUCGGAACAACUCAGGGAAACUUGAGCUAAUACCGGAUGUGCCCUUCGUGGGAAAGAUUUAUCGCCAUUGGAGCGGCCCGCGUCUGAUUAGCUAGUUGGUGAGGUAAAGGCUCACCAAGGCGACGAUCAGUAGCUGGUCUGAGAGGAUGAUCAGCUACAUUGGGACUGAGACACGGCCCAAAUUCCUACGGGAGGCAGCAGUGGGGAAUCUUGCGCAAUGGGCGAAAGCCUGACGCAGCCAUGCCGCGUGAAUGAUGAAGGUCUUAGGAUUGUAAAAUUCUUUCACCGGGGACGAUAAUGACGGUACCCGGAGAAGAAGCCCCGGCUAACUUCGUGCCAGCCGCCGCGGUAACAC
rnacentral:rRNA from 1 species